rnacentral:rRNA from 1 species
AAUUUUGGACAAUGGGGGCAACCCUGAUCCAGCCAUCCCGCGUGUGCGAUGAAGGCCUUCGGUUUGUAAAGCACUUUUGGCAGGGAAGAAAAGGCUCUGGCUAAUACCUGGAGCUGGUGCCGGUACAUGCAGAAUAAGUCCUGUCUAACUACGUGCCAGCAGCCGCGGUAAUACGUAGGUUGCAAGCGUUAAUCGGAAUUACUGGGCGUAAAGCGUGCGCAGGCGGUUCGGCAAGAAGGAUGUGAAAUCCCAGGGCUUAACCUUGGAACUGCAUUCUUAACUGCCGGGCUAGAGUAUGUCAGAGGGGGGUAGAAUUCCGCGUGUAGCAGUGAAAUGCGUAGAGAUGCGGAGGAAUACCGAUGGCGAAGGCAGCCCCCUGGGAUAAUACUGACGCUCAUGCACGAAAGCGUGGGGAGCAAACA